UACGUAGGUGGCAAGCGUUAUCCGGAAUUAUUGGGCGUAAAGCGCGCGCAGGCGGUUUCUUAAGUCUGAUGUGAAAGCCCACGGCUCAACCGUGGAGGGUCAUUGGAAACUGGGGAACUUGAGUGCAGAAGAGAAAAGCGGAAUUCCACGUGUAGCGGUGAAAUGCGUAGAGAUGUGGAGGAACACCAGUGGCGAAGGCGGCUUUUGGUCUGUAACUGACGCUGAGGCGCGAAAGCGUGGGAG
rnacentral:rRNA from 1 species